rnacentral:rRNA from 1 species
GAUGAACGCUGGCGGCGUGCCUAAUACAUGCAUGUCGAGCGAACAGACGAGGAGCUUGCUCCUCUGACGUUAGCGGCGGACGGGUGAGUAACACGUGGAUAACCUACCUAUAAGACUGGGAUAACUUCGGGAAACCGGAGCUAAUACCGGAUAAUAUAUUGAACCGCAUGGUUCAAUAGUGAAAGACGGUUUUGCUGUCACUUAUAGAUGGAUCCGCGCCGCAUUAGCUAGUUGGUAAGGUAACGGCUUACCAAGGCAACGAUGCGUAGCCGACCUGAGAGGGUGAUCGGCCACACUGGAACUGAGACACGGUCCAGACUCCUACGGGAGGCAGCAGUAGGGAAUCCUCCGCAAUGGGCGAAAGCCUGACGGAGCAACGCCGCGUGAGUGAUGAAGGUCUUCGGAUCGUAAAACUCUGUUAUUAGGGAAGAACAAAUGUGUAAGUAACUAUGCACGUCUUGACGGUACCUAAUCAGAAAGCCACGGCUAACUACGUG